AGUGCAUUAUAUGAAAUAGGCAAAAAAACCUCUUUUGAUACGUUACACAAAAACACUUUCACAAUUAGAAAUGCUUCCAAUAUUAUCCGAAGAUGAAGCCAUGGAUGUUGCCAGUAAAUUUAUUUUUUUACUGUAUAAAUACAAAGAUGAAAAUAUUAAAAACUUAAACGAAUUAAGAUUCCACCAGCAACAACCAAAAAACAAACCUGCUUCUGAACUUCCGCCGACCGUAGAUGCUUUUGGACUACACCUAAAAAGGUGUAUUUACCAAUUAAAAACUUGGUAUAACAGUUAUUUACCAGAACCUGUAUAUGAAAAUCCCGCCAAGUUUGGAAGGCUGUUAAAAGAAGAUGUGUGGGUACCACAGUUCACGAUUAAAGACCCAGUGCCAGUAGAACUAAAAAAACUUUUAUCCAUAACAAAGACAAAAAUUGCAAUAGUACUAGAUGUGUUUGCGUAAAACAGGGAUUAAAAUGUAUGAUAGAAUGUAAAUGCAGAUUAUGCAAUAAUAGUUUAAGUUUUAAUGAUGAUAUUUCAGAAUCAGAAAACGAAGAAGCCUAAUAUAAUAAUAUUAUGAUUU